rnacentral:tRNA from 1 species
UAUGAAAUGCCUGAAAUAUAAGGAAUAUUUUGAUAGAAUAUAUGAUGUAAUUUUUUUUACUUUCAUAU